rnacentral:rRNA from 1 species
AUUUUGGACAAUGGGCGCAAGCCUGAUCCAGCCAUGCCGCGUGCAGGAUGAAGGCCUUCGGGUUGUAAACUGCUUUUGUACGGAACGAAACGGCCUUUUCUAAUAAAGAGGGCUAAUGACGGUACCGUAAGAAUAAGCACCGGCUAACUACGUGCCAGCAGCCGCGGUAAUACGUAGGGUGCAAGCGUUAAUCGGAAUUACUGGGCGUAAAGCGUGCGCAGGCGGUGAUGUAAGACAGUUGUGAAAUCCCCGGGCUCAACCUGGGAACUGCAUCUGUGACUGCAUCGCUGGAGUACGGCAGAGGGGGAUGGAAUUCCGCGUGUAGCAGUGAAAUGCGUAGAUAUGCGGAGGAACACCGAUGGCGAAGGCAAUCCCCUGGGCCUGUACUGACGCUCAUGCACGAAAGCGUGGGGAGCAAACAGGAUUAGAUACCCUGGUAGUCCACGCCCUAAACGAUGUAA